rnacentral:rRNA from 1 species
UACAGAGGUCUCAAGCGUUGUUCGGAUUCAUUGGGCGUAAAGGGCGUGUAGGCGGCCCGAUAAGUCCGCCGUGAAAGUCCAGGGCUCAACCCUGGAAUGCCGGUGGAAACUGUCGGGCUGGAGUCCGGAAGAGGCGAGUGGAAUUCCUGGUGUAGCGGUGAAAUGCGCAGAUAUCAGGAGGAACACCAAUGGCGAAGGCAGCUCGCUGGGACGGUACUGACGCUGAGACGCGAAAGCGUGGGGAGCAAACAGG